ACAAAAUUUCAGACAAUUUGGUUUAGUUUAAGCCCCUUAACUAUUCACGCAAAGUUACAAUUUUCCCGAAAAAUCAGCUAUUUGCAUGCUUAAUUAAUGCAUUUGCCUAAUUUGCAUAUGUCAGCAAUAUGCAAAUUAGGUAUAAAGGCAUAAUUAAGCAUGCGAAUGGCUGACUUUUUAGAACAAAAUGAAUAGUUAAAGGCUUAAACUAAACCAAAUUGUCUGAAAUUUUGUACAGUAAUGAAAAACCCGAC
rnacentral:lncRNA from 1 species